rnacentral:rRNA from 1 species
UACGGAGGGUGCAAGCGUUAAUCGGAAUUACUGGGCGUAAAGCGCACGCAGGUGGCUGAGUCAGUCGAUUGUGAAAGCCCUGGGCUUAACCUGGGAAUUGCAGUCGAUACUACUCGGCUCGAGUAUGGGAGAGGGCAGUGGGAAUUCCCGGUGGUAGCGGUGAAAUGCGUAGAUAUCGGGAGGAACAUCAGUGGCGAAAGG